rnacentral:rRNA from 1 species
GAUGAACGCUGGCGGCGUGCCUAAUACAUGCAAGUCGAGCGAACAGACGAGGAGCUUGCUCCUCUGACGUUAGCGGCGGACGGGUGAGUAACACGUGGAUAACCUACCUAUAAGACUGGGAUAACUUCGGGAAACCGGAGCUAAUACCGGAUAAUAUAUUGAACCGCAUGGUUCAAUAGUGAAAGACGGUUUUGCUGUCACUUAUAGAUGGAUCCGCGCCGCAUUAGCUAGUUGGUAAGGUAACGGCUUACCAAGGCAAGGAUGCGUAGCCGACCUGAGAGGGUGAUCGGCCACACUGGAACUGAGACACGGUCCAGACUCCUACGGGAGGCAGCAGUAGGGAAUCUUCCGCAAUGGGCGAAAGCUUGACGGAGCAACGCCGCGUGAGUGAUGAAGGUCUUCGGAUCGUAAAACUCUGUUAUUAGGGAAGAACAAAUGUGUAAGUAACUAUGCACGUCUUGACGGUACCUAAUCAGAAAGCCACGGCUAACUACGUG